AUGACCCCAAGUCAGGUGGGCC
rnacentral:rRNA from 1 species